GCCCAGAUAGCUCAGUUGGUAGAGCAGCAGACUGAAAAUCUGCGUGUCCCUAGUUCGAUUCUUGGUCUGGGCACCA
rnacentral:tRNA from 1 species